GGUCCCUUUCCAUCACAUUUUUGAGUAUUUAUACUUGGCUAAAAAUAUAGUUAUAAACCACCUAAAAAGAGCCAAAAUAAUUUUGGAAAUAAUAUUACAAUUUGUCAAUAAAUAACAUAGUUGGAAUAAUUAUCGAUAGAGUAAGUAGUAGGAGUAUUUGGCGAAUAAUGAAAAUACAAUAAAACUAAAAGUACUAAAAAAGAAAAACACUUUUUACAAAAUCCGGCGUUGCGUAAGUGCCUAAAUUGUUUUCAUUUUUCAAAUGGAUUUUUUCUUCUCUCUUCUUAAUACACUGACUAAACAAAAUUGCCUAGCAGAAAACACCGUUGAUGUAAUCAAUGAUUGGAGCAAGCCUUCUGAUCGAAAUCGUGGUAAAAGCAAUUUAAAAAAAAAGUACACAUAAUAAUAGUAAAUCCACUUCGUACGCGUCGUUCUACACACAAUGGUAUUAUAUUAUCAUUGAAAAAAAUUGAAUCUACUAAUCUCAAGAGAGGUCUGUUUUCUGAAAUAGCAGGCGACUAAGGCCAAUUACCAAACCGAUAAACUGUAGUAAAUACGCACGCUUCUAGAGCUUCUGCAAUUAAUACACCUAUUCACCUAAAACCCUA